UGGGGAAUAUUCCGCAAUGGACGAAAGUCUGACGGAGCAACGCCGCGUGAGUGAUGAAGGUUUUCGGACUGUAAAGCUCUGUUGUUUAGGACGAAAGUGCCUGUUGCAAAUAGUUACAGGUAUUGACGGUACUGAACGAGGAAGCCACGGCUAACUACGUGCCAGCAGCCGCGGUAAUACGUAGGUGGCAAGCGUUGUCCGGAAUUAUUGGGCGUAAAGAGCAUGUAGGCGGGAAUCUAAGUCUGUUGUGAAAAUGCGGGGCUCAACCCCGUAUUGCGAUGGAAACUGGGUUUCUUGAGUGCAGGAGAGGAAAGGGGAAUUCCCAGUGUAGCGGUGAAAUGCGUAGAUAUUGGGAGGAACACCAGUGGCGAAGGCGCCUUUCUGGACUGUGUCUGACGCUGAGAUGCGAAAGCCAGGGUAGCGAACGG
rnacentral:rRNA from 1 species